GCUAAAACAAUCAACAUUCAGCUCGGCCUCGUCGUGCUCGUCAGACUCGUGCAAUAGGUUUUUGUCUCACAAUUUUCCUAUUUUUCCUCCCGGUAAUAUCCUGCGCCUGCGUGCGCGCUACUCCCUGCAUUUCCUUUGAAAGCCUCCAUGGAAUCUCAUUUCCUCUACUCUAUUGCUCAUUACGAAGGGUUCCUGCAUGCGAUUUCUUAUUUUUCUUGAGUGAUAGGUAAAGCUGUGCCUGAGGUUUCUUUCCUUCUGCACGUUGACUGCAGAUACAUCGCCGAAUACUGACUGCCCCUACAUCACCGAACGUCUGCUGUGCACAUCGCGGAAGUCGGCUUUGCCAAUCACAAAAGCAAUAAAUCCAAUCCCUUGAAGUUUCCGUUCGACCCGACAUUGCCUGAUUUAUGAUGUGGGUCUCGACGCCUUAUCAAAUAUCAAUACAAGAGCUCAAGACACUUAACUCGCACACAUCAGAAAAGUUUGCGGCAGAUGCACUCAAUCCAGCAGCGUCAAAAUAGUGAAAACACCCUCAUUAGCAAGCACACACUCCCGAAUCUCCAUGGACUAUUAGGGGUGCAAAUGGACGGAGCCGAGCGGAGUAUCCCUAUGGACUAUAUUUCGCUGCUCCUCAAGUGACCAUUGGCCCAAAUGGUGCAGGGGUGCACGGCAAUGUUCAGUUGAACGAUGCAGCUGGCCCAUGGUUCAAUUCCACGUAAAAGAAAAUUUAAUUUUGAGGAAACAUAAAAGUGCCCUUAUCUCUAUUGCAAAUUCUACCAAGUGAUAGAAUUAUAAGAUUUCUUAAUUGAUUAUGUAUCCUAACAAAUGCCUAAUAGGGUAUUUUAAGGUGCUUUAAUGGCUGAGUAAUUUUUGUAGUGAUAGUCAUCUUGCUUCAAAGCCUGGAGCGGUGACACAAUAUAUUGCACACAA